rnacentral:rRNA from 1 species
AUACGUAGGGUGCGAGCGUUGUCCGGAAUUACUGGGCGUAAAGAGCUCGUAGGUGGUUUGUCGCGUCGUCUGUGACAUUCCGGGGCUUAACUCCGGGCGUGCAGGCGAUACGGGCAUAACUUGAGUACUGUAGGGGAGACUGGAAUUCCUGGUGUAGCGGUGAAAUGCGCAGAUAUCAGGAGGAACACCGGUGGCGAAGGGGGGUCUCUGGGCAGUAACUGACGCUGAGGAGCGAAAGCAUGGGUAGCGAACAGGAUUAGAUACCCUGGUAGUCCAUGCCGUAAACGGUGGGCGCUAGGUGUAGGGGUCUUCCACGACUUCUGUGCCGUAGCUAACGCAUUAAGCGCCCCGCCUGGGGAGUACGGCCGCAAGGCUAAAACUCAAAUGAAUUGACGGGG